GAGAUAGAGAGACAGGAAGAGAGUGAAACAGUAGAGAGAGAAAGAGAAAAAGAAAGAGAGUUAGUAAGACAAAAUUUCCAACCUAAUACUGGCCGUGAGUAGCAGACUGACAUUUAAAGAAGAGAGAGAAAAAGUCAGACAGGCUGGUGUGAUAUGUGAUAUUUUUCAGCUGUUUCCCUCCAAAUGAACUCAGAGGACAGGCUCCGAUGGCGACCUGGCCAAAGACAUGAACAACUGCAAGACAACACUCAGUUACACAUGAAUAUGACAAUCAAAAGCAUUAUGUAAAAUGCAGUAAGCAAGAGAUGAAUCUGUUUCCAUAUUAGAUGAUAAUUCCCAAGGACAGGAGGAAUCAGGGCACCAGGUCAGAGUGGACCAGAAGACCAGAACAGAGGAGAACUGAGGGCAGACUGGGACUGGAUCUGAAUAGGAAAACCACACAGAGCAACACCUGGACUUAGUUACAAUCACGUAGAGCAACACCUGGACUAAGCCUUUUAUAAUAACACAGAGCAACACCUGGACUAACUCAGUUAAAGCUGCACUGAGCAAAACCUGGACUAACUCAGUUAAAGCUGCACUGAGCAACACCUGGACUAACUCAGUUAAAGCUGCA
ensembl:lncRNA